AAACACAGAACUACAUAGUGCAUCCUGGAUGGCUAGUGGGAAAGACACAGGUGUUUGUCUGUCCUUCACAUGACCAUAUGCUAUCAAAAUGAAUUUGAGGACUGUACCAAAACUAUUUGCCUAUAAAACAAUACAUCCAAAACUGUCAAAUUGUUCCAUAGUGUUACUUUAAGCUAAGUCCAAUUUGUGGUGUUAAAAUUUGUGGUGAAUAACAAUGAAUAAUUGACAUUGUAUUUCAUAUUUUAGAUGCAGCAUAACAGCUGUCAUGCCACGCAAUUACACAAGAAAAACAGAUACAGAUUUUUACCUUGUAGAUGAGGUAGAAGCAUCACUCUUGUUUUGCCUUGUUAAAUAGCAUUUUCCGUACAUAUGUGACACGUUAGUGUUUAUGUUAUUGACAACAAAGUUUGCGAUUAUACGGAUUUCCAGAACAUUAUGUGACAUGUUGGUGGUUAUGGUUAUAUAUUUAAAAGUUUGCUAUUAUGCCAAACUUACAGUUGAAAGUCUACACUGAAAUGGAAAAACAAAUAGUUUUAAGACUUCCAUGUCUAUUUCUUAUUCCUAGAGGCUUGUCAAACCAUCUUCAGAUUUUAGAACAGUAGCUAGACAAAGUAGCACCAUGGUCCUAGAUGAACGUUGUUUCAUCUCACUGUGUACUUUACUAGCUGUAUAUGGUUGAAAUGACAAUAAAGCCAGUCAACAGUCUAAAGUAUGUGUGUGUAACAAAUUCCAUGCAGGAAAAUUACAGAAUAGUAUAAGCCUAUAUUCAACUUCCGGAAUUUAAGGCAAGGCAAGUGUAUUUAUAUAGCACGACUCAUUCACAAUUGGUCAUUUGAAGUGUGUUACAAAGAAGCAGAAAGACCAUAGAAAAAAAAAGAUUAAAAAGGAAGAAUACAUUGGAUCAGCUAAAAGAACCGAACAAAUAAAAGGGUAUUUAAAAAUCAGUUAACAAAAAGGCAUUUUAAGAACAGUUGGGUUUUUAAUCUAGAUUUGAAACUGGUUACAGUUGGAGCACCAUCAGGAAAUUGUUUCCAGAGGUGACCAUUAAUUCUGACCGCAGGUAUUACCAACAGAUAUCUCCUCAGUGAUCUGACAGGUCUAGCCGGUGUGUGCUGCUGAAGUAUGUCUGAGGGGUAUUUUGGUCCUGUCUCAUGAAGUGAUUUAAGAAUAUAAAGAAAUGCCAUUGUCUCUUUCCCUUGCAUUCUCUUAAACUAAAUGAUGUAGGGUACUGGCUUACUCGCUAAAAUACUGAAAAAAUUCAGGUUGGAUGACAUUAGAAAUGUUAACG
ensembl:lncRNA